CUGGACAUACUGUGGUACGUCAUCUUUAUAUAAGCCACUGGAAACUGUGACCAUGGAUUUGUCUUUUUGUAAAGAAAAAGGAUUGAUUUUACCUCACUCUUGUUAAACUAAGUCAAAUUCUACUGAAGCUUUAACUACAUUCUAUUAUAUGAGUACAGCAUUUCAACUCCUUUAGCCUCUUAGGGACAAACAGGGUGCUGGCUGGUUUACUGCAUCACGUUAUGGUUUUGACUUAGUUGGCUGUCACCUAAUUCUGAAAGCGUUUUACCAAAAUCGUACAAAAUCGUAGCCGCUUAAGCACACCAACACGUUGCAUUAAUUUGAAUGUGUUACACAUGUCGCAACUCAUUUCUCUUUACACCCAGCUCUUCCAACAGGCACAAAACGUAUUGUUUGUAAUUUAUGUUUACUGCUAACUUAUCUGGCAGACACAUACUUGUCAGUAAAUUAUUUAAUGGAAAGGCUGCAGCAAUCAGGAAUAGACAUGUGAAACGUUGUUGAAAGUGUU